UAAUCUGCAUAGAUGAUGAUGUCUUUUGGAUAAACUAUUUCUGGCAAAUUUGAAUGAUGAACUUUGAUAAAUGCUAAACCUUUUUCUAUAAUCAUCAAUUAGCUGGCUUGUCUCUUUUUGUUGAUGAUAAAGGGGGAGAAGUGAUGACUUACACCAGAACGAUAGCAUGACUAAUAUGAAUUACAAAAACUUGUGUGAUAUGAAUGUCUUAUAUGACUUGCAAAUCCUUGAAAAUAUCACAAGAUUGAUAUCAUGAAAUUUAUAUUGAAAAUCUUUAUCUUCUGUCGUAGCAAAAUUCGUCCCUUAUCAUUUAACUUAUGAUUUUCAUCGAAGUUUCGUACUUACUAUUGUUUAAUGAGGAUAACGAUAAGUUCUACGAUUAGAACUUAUCGGGUUAUGCUUGA
rnacentral:lncRNA from 1 species